rnacentral:rRNA from 1 species
GAUGAACGCUGGCGGCGUGCUUAACACAUGCAAGUCGAACGGAAAGGCUCCUGCUUGCAGGGGUACUCGAGUGGCGAACGGGUGAGUAACACGUGGGUGAUCUGCCCUGCACUUCGGGAUAAGCCUGGGAAACUGGGUCUAAUACCGGAUAGGACCACAUUUUGGAUGGUGUGGUGGAAAGUUUUUCGGUGUGGGAUGAGCUCGCGGCCUAUCAGCUUGUUGGUGGGGUAAUGGCCUACCAAGGCGUCGACGGGUAGCCGGCCUGAGAGGGUGUACGGCCACAUUGGGACUGAGAUACGGCCCAGACUCCUACGGGAGGCAGCAGUGGGGAAUAGUGCACAAUGGGCGCAAGCCUGAUGCAGCGACGCCGCGUGGGGGAUGACGGCCUUCGGGUUGUAAACUCCUUUCGCUAGGGACGAAGCGCAAGUGACGGUACCUGGAGAAGAAGCACCGGCUAACUACGUG